rnacentral:misc_RNA from 1 species
AAAGAGAGAGAGAGAGAAGCCAAACUUAAGGUGUCCCUAAAUUAUCUCACCCAUUGAACCAAAGACCACGACUCAAAAUUCAUCAAAAAAAUUUCCAUCUAAACUAGAUUAAAUGAAAAGAAAAUAAAAAGAUGCACACUUCAAAACCAAUGAUCAAUGAAUUAAUAAAUUCAAAUCUAAAGUAUCUAAAGAAAAUGAAAAUCCCAAACAAAAUACAUAUUAACACAAGAAUAAAUUUUCUUAAUUCUUCCUACAUUAUUCCAGGAACCCAAAAAAUUCAACUGAUAACUUCGAAAUAAAAAAUAAAAACGCACGCUCGUCAAAAAAAAAAAAAGCCAUCCUACAUUUCAAGUGACUAAAAAGUAACAACUAGUGUUUUUAGCCUCGAUCAUUUAACAUUCUCAGCUUAUUCCAACAUUUUCUCACCGGCACUUCAACAGUUCAAAGUUGAAGCCGCCUAACAAUAAUAAAUUCCAUUCCCUUCCUUUCGU